CUGAAUCCGAAGCUGCUGAUACCAAGCUCCCAGGAAAAGCCUCUAAGCUUCAGUUGCAUGGGACCGUACCGUAAUCGGGCACACGUGGGCAGGAUGAAAAUUCUAAGGCGCUUGAGAGAACUCAGGAGAAGGAACUCGGCAAAUUGACACCGUAACUUCGGAAGAAGGUGUGCCCUGGUAGGUUGUAGCCGUACAGGCGAAGGCCGAAGGGGCUGCAAAAAAUCGGUGGCUGCGACUGUUUAAUAAAAACACAGCACUCUGCAAACACGAUGAGUGGACGUAUAGGGUGUGACGCCUGCCCGGUGCCGGAAGGUUAAAUGAUGGGGUGCAAGCUCUUGAUUGAAGCCCCGGUAAACGGCGGCCGUAACUAUAACUGUCCUAAGGUAGCGAAAUUCCUUGUCGGGUAAGUUCCGACCUGCACGAAUGGCGUAACGAUGGCCACACUGUCUCCUCCUGAGACUCAGCGAAGUUGAAAUGUUUGUGAUGAUGCAAUCUACCCGCGGCUAGACGGAAAGACCCCGUGCACCUUUACUGUAGCUUUGCAUUGGACUGUGAUGGGAUCUGUGUAGGAUAGGUGGGAGGCUUUGAAGUGGGGGCGCUAGCCCUCAUGGAGCCGUCGUUGAAAUACCACCCUGAUGUCAUUGCGGUUCUAACCUUGGCCCCUUAGCGGGGUUGGGGACAGUGCAUGGUAGGCAGUUUGACUGGGGCGGUCUCCUCCCAAAGAGUAACGGAGGAGCUCGAAGGUACGCUAGGUACGGUCGGACAUCGUGCUGAUAGUGCAAUGGCACAAGCGUGCUUGACUGCGAGACUGACAAGUCGAGCAGGUGCGAAAGCAGGACAUAGUGAUCCGGUGGUUCUGAAUGGAAGGGCCAUCGCUCAACGGAUAAAAGGUACGCCGGGGAUAACAGGCUGAUUCCUCCCAAGAGUUCAUAUCGACGGGGGAGUUUGGCACCUCGAUGUCGGCUCAUCACAUCCUGGGGCUGUAGCCGGUCCCAAGGGUAUGGCUGUUCGCCAUUUAAAGUGGUACGUGAGCUGGGUUUAAAACGUCGUGAGACAGUUUGGUCCCUAUCUGCCGUGGGCGUUGGACGUUUGAGGGGGGCUGCUCCUAGUACGAGAGGACCGGAGUGGACGCACCUCUGGUGUACCGGUUAUCACGCCAGUGGUAUUGCCGGGUAGCUAAGUGCGGAAGAGAUAAGCGCUGAAAGCAUCUAAGCGCGAAACUUGCCUCGAGAUGAGACGUCCCGUGAUGUAAGUCACCUAAAGGGUCGCGGUAGACCACCGCGUUGAUAGGUCGGGUGUGGAAGCGCAGUAAUGCGUUAAGCUAACCGAUACUAAUUGCCCGUGCGGCUUGAUCCU
rnacentral:rRNA from 1 species